rnacentral:rRNA from 1 species
GACGAACCGAGCGAGCGUUGUUCGGAAUCACUGGGCUUAAAGGGCGCGUAGGCGGGCUGUCAAGUCUGGGGUGAAAUCCCGCGGCUCAACCGUGGAACUGCCUCAGAUACUGACGGCCUCGAGGGAGGUAGGGGCGAGCGGAACUGUGAGUGGAGCGGUGAAAUGCGUUGAUAUUCACAGGAACUCCGGUGGCGAAGGCGGCUCGCUGGACCUUUUCUGACGCUGAGGCGCGAAAGCUAGGGGAGCAAACGGG